ACAGCGCGCUGUGAGAUAAAUUUCCGGCGCCUGAGCUACUUGGCUGCUCGGGAGUCCCGGCUUUCUGGAUUUUAACGCGUUCCCCUUCCCCCCACUCUCAAAGGAGUGCGUGCGUCUCAGGCAGCUCCCAGUGCAGGCUGCCAACGUGACGGCAGGCAGCUCCCUGAGGAGGCUGUUCCUGCGGGUAAUUUCUUCGUGAGGGCUCCGUUUGAUGGCACCACGGGCUUUCGCCGUCCCUUGUUUUCCGGGAGGAAUCGGGCAGCCAGGGCUGCCAUUGCUGCUGGCAGUGGCUGCCCCAGGAGGUCAGCGGGAGCUCACCCUUUUCUUCAUGGCUUAGGUCAUUCUGCUGAGGAUGACCUAAUCCUGCUGCAGGUUCGAUAGACUUGUGAUGCUGGUGUAAAGACUUCUAAACUCAUGGCUGGCUACCAGGCUCACGCAUGUUCUGUUUCUUCACAUAUUUUAUAAUAAGCAUCGCUUGAGAAAAUGAAGACACAGCUCAGUGCUCGAAGUCAUUUCAGAAAAUGACAGAGUCUGCUCCUUUGGAAAGUCUUUAAUAAAAGCGGGGCUUAUUUGAGGACAAAUUAAAAAUAGCCUUGAAAGGUACUCUGGGAUUUAAUCUCCCAUGUGCUGUUGCAUCAUACGUGAUAAGGAAAUUCCUUCAGGCUCUAAAUAAACCUAUUAUCAUUUAAUCUCC